GAAAUCUGAUUAUUGGAUUCGUUUCGAUCGAUCGUGUUGGGCGUUUCUUACUCGCUGCUCGAACGAGAAUGGAGAUUCUAAUACGCGAAUCAUCCUCGUCUUUCUUUGCCGUCACUCUGUUCCCAGUGAUAAGUAGAAUUUCGUUUGGAAUUAAUCAAAAGACGGACUUACACUCGUUUAGGUUCGUCGCAGCGAAACGACUUGCCGAGAAAUCUUCGCGUGUCUCGUUGCUUAGCCGCUUUGCUAAUUGCAUUGUUCUUGAGCCGCGAGAAAACCACUCCGCACGUAUCACCGGCUUUGAUGCGGCCCAAGAAUUCUUAAAUGUUCGUCGAGAAGCUAACUGUUGCACAUUUCCCUUUUUUCCUCCGCUUAAAUUCUAAGACUCUACGCGAGAUCCUCGUCUCUUCCGAGGGCGUGUUCCACGUCGUUUGCUUUUCUACCGCGAUCUUUCUCUUUACCCGUACGAUCAUUUCCCAGUACAAAUCGGCUCGUCUUUAAAAACUGGUUGUAUCGUUUCAGGCUCGUGACAGAAAUCAACGUUACGUCUCAAUUAAUUCCGAGAGCGAAGGGAUGGUAGCUCGCAGCGUGGAAUACCGACAAACGACAAUACUAAAUUCGCAUUCUCAACGAGAAAACUGUACGUUGCCUUCUAAUCGCAACGACCAAGUAUCCAGCGACGUCCUUAAAUCUCGUUGCUCGAUUUUACUUACCUAAAUAUCCAGAUAUCUGCUAUCACGUUCGAUGAAACAACGAUGAAAUAAAACCGGGAGAAAGAAGCGAGAAAUUAAAGAGACCAGGCAGACGUAUUAUUAUUUCGCAAAGAAUUAACGAACGACCGAAUGGCGUUGAAUUUUAGGGGAAAUCAAAUGUUUCAUUACGGUGAAAUUUUGAAUGGCACAAAGUCAAAACAGGUAAUGGCGGUAACAUAGCACGGUUGCACGGCGGCAAGUGGGGCAUAAUAAAUUUAGGUAUCGAUCGAGCGGGAAGAGCGCGCGGAUCUCUCGACCGGCGCACACCAACGCGCAAUAUUGUUGCACGUGAAAAUAACAAGACCGCGUUUUCAAAUUAUGGACAAUCUCGCGGAAUUCACUUUUAUGAGUUAGACGUGAUCAAUAGUCGCGCCGGAUGCGGCGGGGAUCCGACGACGAAACGUUACGGCUGAUUG